rnacentral:lncRNA from 1 species
AUGAUAAUCACAGUCGGAACUAUGGUGAACGAGACGAUACCUGUCUUUCUGAUAGCUCAAUAUCGGUGUCCAAACCACCGACGCAACAGCGGAUUAUUAUUAAAUCGAUGCCCGUGUUCGGAACAACAACGGCACUUUCAAAUGACUCUGGAGGGUGUACCCGCGCUUCAUCUCGAAAAGCGUCGAACAACUUUCCCCUGCACUCGCCAGCACCGACCUCGGCAAACGCACGCACCGGAAUGAUUUUCCAAGGUAUUCGAAGCACGGUGCUCGCGGAAUUCAACUCAAUUUUCUCGACUUGAACAUUUUAGUAUUACACUUCUAAAUCCUCCGAAUCGAGCACAUCGUGCAACAAUCCCCUGAAUCACUCGAAGUAUGGAACUUGGUCCACGGUUAUGCAUUAUUUUAUUCUCCGAUACUUUUUUGCGAGGAGGAUUCUCAUCCGUGACCAGAUGAAACUUAAACGCUAUCAAUUACGACGGUUUCUCCUUGCGGUACUCGGACUGGUAUCAUAGCAAAGAGUGUCAAAAGUGCAAAAUGAAGCCUUGAGAAAAUUGUCUCAGUAAGUAGUGCACCGGAGCGAAAAAAUUUAUUGGAAAAAGCCUCCGCUCUUUGUCAAAGCGCAUCAGAUCACCCGAAAGACUCCAGAAUUGUUUCGACGAAUUUUAUUUCAACUAAAUAACAAGAGUCUUGUUUCUUUCCAUGACGCUUGUAUUGGGCCAGACGGCUAUCCUCUACAUUCGGGGUUGCGUUUUGGACACACACCGAAACAAAUUUCAGUGAAGAAACUGCCGGAAAAGCGCGCCACUUUACUUCAAGAUACAGGUCUCGUUGGUUCUCUGGCGAAAUGUCUGUUACGGCUGUUUUUUUCUGAGACAACGUCGAUUUUCGCGCACGUCUUUCUCAUGAGUAUCGUCUUAUACAAAUGAGACAAAUUUUGCUGUUUGAACUACAUCAGUGAUUUAAUCUAAAUAAGAUCGGACAAAUUUUAAAGGAGACUUGAUUUCGAAUAUUUGUGCGUGAAGCACUGAAAAAAAAUUCUCGGCGUUUUUACCAAGGUCCGUUGGUACUAUUUUACCAUCUCACUUUUUUUACCAAUUAUUGGUAAUUUUACCAAGACAGACUGGUAAGCUUACCUAAAAACCGGUAUUUUUACUGUUUUUUUCAGGUAAGAAUACCACUUUUAUUGGUAAUCAAUUCCCGGUAACUUUGCCAUUUUAUCUCGGUAAUUCUACCACAGUCGAUAAAAAAUAUUGGCGUUUUUACCAAGGUCCAGUAAAAUUACCGAGAAGGUUCAUUAAUUUUACCGAGAGUUCUCGGUAGAAUUACCGACACCAUAAAUGAUAAUUUUACCAAGAAAAAACAGGGAUCAAAUAGAACCUUGAAUUCUUGGUAAUUUUACCCUUUUCUUGGUAAAUACACCGAGAUUUUUUUUUCAGUGAAAUGAGACACAUUUUGCUGUUUUAACUACAUCAGUGAUUUAAUCUAAAUUAGAUCGGACAAAUUUUAAAGGAGACUUGAUUUCGAAUAUUUGUGCGUGACGGCUCGGUUCGCUAUCACGGCAGCGCAGUAGAAGCCUGAAAUGUUUUGAAGCUCUCGUAGGAUACUGAUGCAGCGCAUGGAUGUUUAGCUCGCAGCUGGAGCAAUUAACAUU